GAUGAACGCUGGCGGCGUGCCUAAUACAUGCAAGUCGAACGAGUGGCGAACGGGUGAGUAACACGUGGGAAACCUACCCUUCAGCGGGGGAUAACAAUCGGAAACGAUGACUAAUACCGCAUACUGAAGGAUGGUCCCGCGGUGCAUUAGCUAGACGGUGGGGUCACGGCCUACCGUGGCUGUGAUGCCUAGCCGACCUGGGAGGGUGAUCGGGCACAUUGGGACUGCGACACGGCCCAAACUCCGACGGGAGGGAGCAGUGGGGGAUAUGGCACAAUGGGCGAAAGCCGGAUGCAGCGACGCCGAGUGGGGGAUGAAGGCUGUCGGGUUGUAAACCUCUUUCGCUAGCGAACGGGUAGGUGGAGAAGAAGCGCCGGCUAACUACGUGCCAGCAGCCGCGGUAAUAC
rnacentral:rRNA from 1 species